rnacentral:rRNA from 1 species
AGUGAACGCUGGCGGCAGGCCUAACACAUGCAAGUCGAGCGGCAGCGCGGGGGCAACCCUGGCGGCGAGCGGCGGACGGGUGAGGAAUGCAUCGGAAUCUACCUCGUUGUGGGGGAUAACACAGGGAAACUUGUGCUAAUACCGCAUAAUGUCGAGAGACCAAAGCAGGGGACCGCAAGGCCUUGCGCGAUAGGAUGAGCCGACGCCCGAUUAGCUAGUUGGUAGGGUAAAGGCCUACCAAGGCGACGAUCGGUAGCUGGUCUGAGAGGAUGAUCAGCCACACUGGGACUGAGACACGGCCCAGACUCCUACGGGAGGCAGCAGUGGGGAAUAUUGGACAAUGGGCGCAAGCCUGAUCCAGCAAUGCCGCGUGUGUGAAGAAGGCCUGCGGGUUGUAAAGCACUUUUGUUCGGGAAGAAAUCAUGCUGGUUAAUACCUGGUAUGGAUGACGGUACCGAAAGAAUAAGCACCGGCUAACUUCGUG